CGUCAGGCUACCAGCGCCCCGGGCUACAGUAAUAACCGUGCUGCUGGGACCAUGCCUCCCUCCAUCUCGCAGCUAAGAGGAUCUGUUAAACAGAGGGGUCAAGAAGGGAGAAAAGUUCUCAAGUAAGCCAAUGGAAGCACUUGGAAAGAUGGUCUGGCACCAUGAACAGUUCUGCCUGGCAGAGAAGAUUAGAGAAUCUUUGUGAAAGAAUUCAUACCAUAAAUAGCCUGGACUUUGCCAGUCCUGCAAUGUCAUCAAUGCAGAUUGCAAAAGGGCAGUCACCACCAGAAGAUUAUCUUGAGGAGGACUUCGAAGGAAGAAAAAGAGACUGAUCUUUGCUAGCAGAUGGUCUAUCACAGAAUGCUUGGUCAUUCCUAUGGCUUUCUGUAAAUCCAUGAAUGAAGAACAAAAGUGAACAUCUCAUAGAGGGUGUGUGAGCUCACCAGAGUCGGGGGAAAGAGCAAGAGGAGAGAAAGUAUCUGCAAUGG